AUAUUUCUAAUCUUUGUGAAU
ensembl:piRNA 21ur-1877 ncRNA